rnacentral:tRNA from 1 species
GCCUGGGUAGCUCAGUCAGUUAAGCGUCUGACUUCAGCUCAGGUGAUAAACUCAUGAUUCGUGGGUUCGAGCCCCGCGUUGGGCC